rnacentral:rRNA from 1 species
UGAACGCUGGCGGCGUGCCUAAUACAUGCAAGUCGAGCGAACGGACGAGAAGCUUGCUUCUCUGAUGUUAGCGGCGGACGGGUGAGUAACACGUGGAUAACCUACCUAUAAGACUGGGAUAACUUCGGGAAACCGGAGCUAAUACCGGAUAAUAUUUUGAACCGCAUGGUUCAAAAGUGAAAGACGGUCUUGCUGUCACUUAUAGAUGGAUCCGCGCUGCAUUAGCUAGUUGGUAAGGUAACGGCUUACCAAGGCAACGAUGCAUAGCCGACCUGAGAGGGUGAUCGGCCACACUGGAACUGAGACACGGUCCAGACUCCUACGGGAGGCAGCAGUAGGGAAUCUUCCGCAAUGGGCGAAAGCCUGACGGAGCAACGCCGCGUGAGUGAUGAAGGUCUUCGGAUCGUAAAACUCUGUUAUUAGGGAAGAACAUAUGUGUAAGUAACUGUGCACAUCUUGACGGUACCUAAUCAGAAAGCCACGGCUAACUACGUGCCAGCAGCCGCGGUAAUACGUAGGUGGCAAGCGUUAUCCGGAAUUAUUGGGCGUAAAGCGCGCGUAGGCGGUUUUUUAAGUCUGAUGUGAAAGCCCACGGCUCAACCGUGGAGGGUCAUUGGAAACUGGAAAACUUGAGUGCAGAAGAGGAAAGUGGAAUUCCAUGUGUAGCGGUGAAAUGCGCAGAGAUAUGGAGGAACACCAGUGGCGAAGGCGACUUUCUGGUCUGUAACUGACGCUGAUGUGCGAAAGCGUGGGGAUCAAACAGGAUUAGAUACCCUGGUAGUCCACGCCGUAAACGAUGAGUGCUAAGUGUUAGGGGGUUUCCGCCCCUUAGUGCUGCAGCUAACGCAUUAAGCACUCCGCCUGGGGAGUACGACCGCAAGGUUGAAACUCAAAGGAAUUGACGGGGACCCGCACAAGCGGUGGAGCAUGUGGUUUAAUUCGAAGCAACGCGAAGAACCUUACCAAAUCUUGACAUCCUUUGACAACUCUAGAGAUAGAGCUUUCCCCUUCGGGGGACAAAGUGACAGGUGGUGCAUGGUUGUCGUCAGCUCGUGUCGUGAGAUGUUGGGUUAAGUCCCGCAACGAGCGCAACCCUUAAGCUUAGUUGCUAUCAUUAAGUUGGGCACUCUAAGUUGACUGCCGGUGACAAACCGGAGGAAGGUGGGGAUGACGUCAAAUCAUCAUGCCCCUUAUGAUUUGGGCUACACACGUGCUACAAUGGACAAUACAAAGGGCAGCGAAACCGCGAGGUCAAGCAAAUCCCAUAAAGUUGUUCUCAGUUCGGAUUGUAGUCUGCAACUCGACUACAUGAAGCUGGAAUCGCUAGUAAUCGUAGAUCAGCAUGCUACGGUGAAUACGUUCCCGGGUCUUGUACACACCGCCCGUCACACCACGAGAGUUUGUAACACCCGAAGCCGGUGGAGUAACCUUUUAGGAGCUAGCCGUCGAAGGUGGGACAAAUGAUUGGGGUGA